rnacentral:lncRNA from 1 species
CCACAAUGUACCCUGAAUGUGAGGUGCUAUGGGGAAUAUGAAGAUGAAAGAGACCCUGCCACUGCUUUCCAGGAGUUCACCAUCUGGUAUGGGAGACCAACAUCCACCUAACUAGGUAUUAUCCCAGAGCUAGAAGAGAGUCUGGUAUAUUUGAAUAAUUGUAUCAAUGCCUAUGGAAUGGAUGAGUACAUUCUAAUACAAAGUACGGCAGAGGUAAACACAAGUUUCCUAUUAGUGAACUAAAUAUAUAUAAUACUUAGAGGGAUAGCAUUCUGUAGAUUAUCAUCCUUCAUUGACAUUAUAAACUAAUAGUCUCCCUUAGUAUUUGCUGCUAUAAGGUGGUAAAAGCUAGCUAACAAAGCAAAAUGAAAGGUUGUUCAUAUUAAAUAAUACUGAAAUGAUUCCAUUUUCUACAUUGCCCUCCACAGGUCCUGAAGUGGAACCAUUAAAGAAAGGGUACCUGCCACUCCAUAUCAUCUCACUUCAAGAACUUGCAUAGAACAUCUCAGUUUCUGCUUUUAUAAAAAACAUUUCUGCGUUCUACAGAGCCAAGACACAAUCUACCAUGGCCCUCCUGGGUUUGAAGAUGACAAGCACAUUUCUUUAUUCAUGUGUACUCAAUUGCCUUUCAGCAAUCUGCUGAACUGCAUACUUGCUGGUCAGUUACCUUGGCAACUCCACAGUAAAGGCUGCUUCACUUUAAGUAUAGUAUGCCAUUCACUUUGAGAAAAACAUGAUACAGAUGUAUGACACAUUCAUCAUCUAGAAAUGGAAAAUGACUAAGCCACUAUGUUUUGUUUGUAAAAAUAAUACUUCCUUUCUGUAGCAUCAGUUUAAAUUACAGGCACCCACACAACAUUUUAGAGGAGUGCCCUUUGCCUUUCCCUUUCGCAUUUGUUACUUGCAAAACAAAUAGCUCUGCAACGGAGGCAAUUUAGGCAGUAUUUACACCUAUGCUUCCUUUCAAAAACAACAAAUGACACAGAGAAUUCGAAGCUAUAGGUUCUUGUUCUAAACGUGAGCUAUAUAAAUAAAGCUGAUGGGGUCCACUCCAACACCUACAGAGGCUAUUACUAACAGUUAACACAUGUUGCAGUCACAUAUGCCCAGGCAGCACUCACAAACCAUAAGCUUAAAGCAUGUUGUUUUCCUUAAGAGCAAGUCUUGAAAAUCAAAUUUAAACACUCUAAGAAUCCACAACACUAAGAUCUAAUAAUCUCUGAAAUAUACAUGUGUACAGUGCCAUGCUAAUCAAGCCAAGGUAACAGGGUCUGGCCUCUCUGUGUAUCGCAUGGUUUUGCAAUCUUCUACGGCUGCAAAUCCAUUACCUCUGCAAACAUACGCCACUAGAUAUAAAUGAAACUGGAAAACUAUGGGUGGUUAAAUCCAUGCAAUUCUAUCACUAUUAAUGGGAAAAACAAUGAGACCAAAAGUCCAACCCGCAAGAGGUCAAAAAUAUCAUCUCCAAAUAGCAAGCAUAGCUAGAUUUACAAAGAUUAAAAACUUCUGAAGACAGGUAGUCAUAAGGAACAGAAUUUUUUAAGUAAUAAUUACAUAUCUGAGUAGAGAGAGCCAAAGGGUUAUGUAAGCAAGUAGCUGGGAUCAUUAUCUCGCUCUCCCUAAACAUAGAUCCAAUUUAUCUCAUCACCAUGUUACCAAAACCUUGUUCACAAAACUGUUAUCUGUAUGUUUCAUUCACAGGGUAUAGAAUCUGCAGCCAUUUCAACAACUCUAUAUUAUGUGACAGCAUAGAGCCCAGAAUCAAAUAACAGACCACGAAAGCAGUAGCAAAAAAAAAGGGAGCUCAUGCUAGCUAAACAAUGUCUUGUUUUCCUUUACUAAUAGUCCAGUGGAAACUCUCUCUCCAUAAUGAAAAUAUAUGGGUGUGCACGUGUGCUUAUUACAAUUACCUUCAAAGCAAGUUUGAAUGUAUUUAGUAAACAUUAAAUUUUGAAAGUACUAUGGUGGUACGCUGCCAAUGAAUCCACAGCAUAUAACUUCACAAUUCUCACAAUGAUUAUUCUUAAUGGCAUGUGCAUAAGCACAGGCACACACACAGCCCCUUCACUACAAAAAUGUCCAGAGAACACUUGCCAGUUCUUUUUCUGCAUCACCAAGAACAAUUACAUGGCUAUAAAGAUAAAAUAACAACUGAGUAUAAGACCCUGCAAGUUUGAGCUAGUUUUAAAUCUUAAAGCCAUCUGUCUUCUGAAAUCUUUGAGAAGAAAGUCAUAAAGUAUUGUCAAUAUUUAUGUCCGGGUGACUUUGAUUAGGUACCCAGUAUGUUUAGGUCUCUCUUAUAGAUGCUUUAUUAAUAAACUAAUCACUUUAAAAUGUCCAUUUAUAUCAUCAUUUUCUAAUUUUUAAGGUUUACAAGGAUCUAAUAAAAUCUCAGUUUACCAGAACCACAUGAAAUGAAUUGUUCCACAGAGCUGAUGUUUCUGAAGUACUCUGCAGUUGAUUCUUUUUCAUGAUGGUAUAAGAUCAUCAUUUUGUACAUCAAUUGUUGCACUCUGCUCUAUUAUACGGUGAUACCCGUAUGGACUGUUUGGUUGCCUUGUCAUUUACCGAUCACACUGUGGGUCCCAGUCUGCUAAUGCUUUUUAAGGUUGUGUGUUUUACAGAUUUUGUUUUCUCUUUUGUAGACAAGUUGUCAGCUGUCAUUUCUCAUUGCUAUCAGUAUGUUUCCCAUAGCAGCUUCUCUAUCCCCUCUAAUUUGCUGUUAUUAAUCGGCUGCAGGUUUAGAAACCAGACUACCAAAUGAGGCAGGGUUGCACAUUGAAGUAAAAACAAAUGCGUGCUGUUUAACACACAUAGGGCUCUGCUAGAUGUAAAAGACAGGAGCCUGCAUUCGCAGCAUCUAUUUUGGCUGCCGAAAGACUCUUUUGUGGCGUAUUUCCUAGUUCUUAGUUGACGCAGUACACUUCUGAAUAGAUGAUCUUACUAUACUUGAGAGAGAGCCAUUACUUAAGGUGAUGGCAGCAGAAACUCUGUUAUAAAAUACAUUCACAAAUAAAUAGGUGUACAAUUGAAAGUCUUAAUUCAACCCAUAUAUUACAUAACUGUGAACUGUCAAAUAAAAAAUGGAUUGAAUGCAUUGUAUAAAACACUUACAUAUUCGAUAUGUGGGAAAUACACUGCACAAUUUAAACGAAGAGAUCUAUGGAUUAAAUGAUAUGUUGCCCUUAGUUAUAGCUAAAUCAGCCUAAGAUACUAUAACACAAUAUAAUUAAUAAGUAACUUAUUAAUAAGCAAUUAAAGUCUAUUUCUAAAAGCAUUUCAAUUUUAUCAAUUUGUUUCUCACAUGAAGAGUU